rnacentral:lncRNA from 1 species
GCCAUUGAUUCUGAGGUGGGGGAGCUGCAGCUAAUAACAGCAUUUCAUUCCGGCUCAUAAGACAGGAAGAUCAGGACAAACUUGGGGCCAGCUUUGUGUACACAGAGACCCUGUUAUAAAGAACAGGGCUUGGCAACUCCCCUCCCCCCCAAAUACUACCCAAAAGUUCAUGCUGUUCGAGGCUAAAUAGAUCCUUUUCUUUUCCAACCUCAACUCAAAUGCUAGUUCAUCUGACAGUAUUCGACAUUCUCACUUGGCAAAUAGGAAUACUUCUGUAUUUGCAUGACAGAGAAACAAAAGCACUUAAGAGUCUGUAGUCUGGUGUCUAACAAGAAAAGGUUGGGAGUUAUCUUGACCAUGUUAAAGUUAC